UUACCCUCAUAGAGAUGGCAGAUGGACAGUCACCUUACGAGAGAUUCGGCAGGACUAAAGCCAUGGAACACAUUUUCACAGGCGAACCCCCACGUCUCAAACGUGAACACAUGUGGAGCUACGAUUUUGUGGAUUUCUUAGGCCAAUGCCUGAUUAGAUCACCUAAGAAAAGACCAACAGCCACACAACUUCUUGGCCAUCCUUUUAUAAUGGAACAACCAGAGGCUGAUCAGGUCAAAUAUGCGUUAACAGAAUAUGCCAAAACCGUUGAAUAAUCCCGCCCUGGACAAUCACAAUCAAGUCUAGAGAAAUGGGAAAGAUCGAAAGAUGUGCCUUUAGUCACCUUUAGUCACCAAAAAAACAUGGCAAUUAGUAUCCAGAAAUUGCCCUUCUCACACUUAGACAAGUCUUUAUAUCAUGUCAUUGGCAGUUGCUUUCAGUGCAGGUGUCAGUAUUGAUAUAAUAGUCCCCUACAAUUGGCUCAGUAAUAUCUGUUGGUGUCCAAGGCAAAACUACUUGGCCCCGCCUCCUGCCUGUCACUGACCAUCCCCAGGGGCCACUCAUUUUGUCGCAUUUCUUACUUAGAUCUUGUAAGAAUGUAGGGAUCUAGUCAUAUC